rnacentral:rRNA from 1 species
UACAGAGGGGGCAAGCGUUGUUCGGAAUCACUGGGCGUAAAGGGCGCGUAGGCGGCCGAUCAAGUCAGGGGUGAAAGCCUGUGGCUCAACCACAGAAUUGCCUUUGAUACUGUUCGGCUCGAGACCGGAAGAGGUAAGUGGAACUGCGAGUGUAGAGGUGAAAUUCGUAGAUAUUCGCAAGAACACCAGUGGCGAAGGCGGCUUACUGGUCCGGUUCUGACGCUGAGGCGCGAAAGCGUGGGGAGCAAACAGG